rnacentral:rRNA from 1 species
AUUGAACGCUGGCGGCAUGCCUUACACAUGCAAGUCGAACGGCAGCACGGGAGCAAUCCUGGUAGCGAGUGGCGAACGGGUGAGUAAAGUAUCGGAACGUGCCCAGUCGUGGGGGAUAACGCAGCGAAAGUUACGCUAAUACCGCAUACGAUCUAUGGAUGAAAGCGGGGGAUCGCAAGACCUCGCGCGAUUGGAGCGGCCGAUAUCAGAUUAGGUAGUUGGUGGGGUAAAGGCUCACCAAGCCGACGAUCUGUAGCAGGUCUGAGAGGACGACCAGCCACAAUGGGACUGAGACACGGCCCAGACUCCUACGGGAGGCAGCAGUGGGGAAUUUUGGACAAUGGGCGAAAGCCUGAUCCAGCCAUGCCGCGUGCAGGAUGAAGGCCUUCGGGUUGUAAACUGCUUUUGUACGGAACGAAAAGGUUUGGGCUAAUAAGCUGAGCUCAUGACGGUACCGUAAGAAUAAGCACCGGCUAACUACGUGCCAGCAGCCGCGGUAA